rnacentral:rRNA from 1 species
GAUAAACGCUGGCGGCGCACAUAAGACAUGCAAGUCGAACGGACUUAACCAUUAGUUUACUAUUGGAGCGGUUAGUGGCGGACUGGUGAGUAACACGUAAGCAAUCUGCCUAUCAGAGGGGAACAACAGUUAGAAAUGACUGCUAAUACCGCAUAUGCCUAAGUAACACAUGUUGCAAUAGGGAAAGGAGAAAUCCGCUGAUAGAUGAGCUUGCGUCUGAUUAGAUAGUUGGUGGGGUAACGGCCUACCAAGUCGACGAUCAGUAGCCGACCUGAGAGGGUGACCGGCCACAUUGGGACUGAGACACGGCCCAA